rnacentral:piRNA from 1 species
UGGGUCCAGCCUUUACUUCUGAGUGGUCU